GAAACUUCUCAACUCUCUUCCUUCUCAAAGCAGUAAUUCAGAGGACUUUCAUGAAAUUCAACGCCAGUUGAAGGAGGCAUUGAGGGGGAAAAGAUUUUUGAUAGUUUUGGACGAUUUGUGGAGAGACAUGCGUGAUAAAUGGGACGACCUACGCUCCCCUUUCUUGGAGGCAGCAUCAGGAAGCAAAAUCUUAGUCACCACUCGCGAUCGAGAUGUUGCAGAAUGGGUGGGGGGACCCAAGAACUUACAUGUCCUCAAACCCUUAUCUGAUGAUGACUGUUGGUCGGUAUUUCAAACACAUGCUUUCCAACUUAUAAAUAUCCACGAGCACCCAAAUUUGGAAUCAAUUGGCAGGAGAAUUGUAGAGAAGUGUGGAGGUUUGCCCUUGGCGGCAAAAGCACUUGGUGGCCUUCUGCGUGCUGAACGAAGAGAACGUGAAUGGGAAAGAGUAUUAGAUAGCAAAAUAUGGGAUUUACCUGACAACCCCAUCAUCCCUGCAUUGAGAUUGAGUUACAUUCAUCUCCCUUCACAUUUAAAGAGGUGUUUUGCUUAUUGCGCAAUAUUUCCCCAAGACUAUGAGUUUAUGAAGGAAGAGCUAAUCCCCUUAUGGAUGGCGGAGGGGCUAAUUCAACAAUCAAAAGAUAAUAGGAGAAAAGAAGAUCUUGGUGAUAAGUAUUUUUGUGAGCUAUUGUCAAGGUCAUUUUUCCAAUCGUCGAGUAGCAAAGAAUCACUAUUUGUGAUGCAUGACCUUGUUAACGAUCUAGCUAAAUUUGUUGCUGGAGAUACAUGCUUGCAUUUGGAUGAUGAGUUUAAGAAUAAUUUGCAAUGUCUCAUUCCUGAAAGUACUCGUCAUUCAUCAUUUGUUCGUCAUAGUUAUGAUAUCUUCAAAAAGUUUGAAAGAUUUUAUAAGAAGGAGCGCUUGCGCACAUUCAUAGCUAUUUCAACACAAAGAUAUUUUCCGACUCGCUGCAUAAGUUAUAAGGUGCUUAAGGAAUUGAUACCAAGAUUAGGAUACCUAAGGGUGCUCUCCUUGAGUGGUUAUCAGAUAAAUGAGAUACCAAAUGAAUUUGGCAAUUUGAAACUUCUAAGGUACCUUAAUUUGUCUAACACCCAUAUUGAAUAUUUACCUGAUUCAAUUGGCGGUCUUUAUAAUCUACAGACAUUGAUAUUAUCAUACUGCCAUAGGCUUACCAAGUUGCCUAUUAACAUUGGACACCUAAUUAACCUUCGACAUCUUGAUGUUAGUGGCGACGACAAAUUACAAGAAAUGCCUUCACAAAUUGGCAAAUUAAAAGAUUUGCAGGUAUUGUCUAAUUUCGUGGUGGGCAAAAACAAUGGUUUGAAUAUCAAAGAGUUGAGAGAAAUGUCAAAUCUUAGAGGUGAACUCCAUAUUUCAAAAUUGGAAAAUGUGGUGAAUGUUCAAGAUGUAAGGGUUGCCCGUCUAAAAUUAAAAGAUAACCUUGAAAGAUUGACACUAGCGUGGAGUUUUGACUCGGAUGGUUCAAGGAAUGGAAUGGAUCAAAUGAAUGUCCUUCACCAUUUAGAACCUCAAUCGAAUCUGAAUGAACUCAACAUUUAUUCAUAUGGUGGUCCAGAAUUCCCAGAUUGGAUAAGGAAUGGCUCAUUCUCUAAAAUGGCGGUUCUAAGUCUCAAAGAUUGCAAAAAGUGCACAUCUUUACCAUGCUUGGGGCAGUUACCAUCGCUUAAACGGUUGUGGAUUCAAGGAAUGGAUGGAGUAAAAAAUGUGGGUUCAGAGUUUUAUGGAGAGACGUGUCUUUCUGCAGAUAAGCUUUUCCCAUCACUAGAGUCUCUAUGGUUUGUAAAUAUGUCAGAAUGGGAGUAUUGGGAGGACUGGUCUUCCUCGAUAGAUUCCUCAUUCCCUUGCCUCCGUACGCUUACAAUUUAUAAUUGCCCUAAAUUGAUUAAGAAAAUACCCACUUACGUACCUUUGCUGACACGGCUCUAUGUUCACAACUGUCCAAAACUGGAGUCUGCACUUUUAAGGCUACCAUCUCUCAAGGAAUUAGAAGUCACGAAAUGUAAUGAGGCGGUCUUGAGAAAUGGAACUGAGCUCACCUCAGUGACCUCACUCACCGAGUUAACAGUUUCUGGGAUCUUAGGGCUUAUCAAAUUGCAACAAGGAUUCGUGCGGUCAUUGUCAGGGCUUCAGGCUUUGGAAUUUUCAGAAUGCGAAGAGCUCACAUGUUUGUGGGAGGAUGGGUUUGAAUCCGAAAGCCUUCACUGCCAUCAACUUGUAUCCUUGGGAUGCAAUCUUCUGUCUUUAACAAUAAAUGAAUGUGAUAAACUAGAGAGGCUUCCAAAUGGAUGGCAGAGUCUAACAUGCCUUGAAGAGUUGAAAAUCAUGGACUGUCCAAAGCUGGUGUCAUUUCCUGACGUAGGUUUCCCACCAAAGCUGAGAAGUCUUGGUUUUGCAAAUUGUGAAGGUCUCAAGUGUCUACCUGAUGGGAUGAUGCGAAAUAGUAACGCCAACAGUAACUCAUGUGUCCUUGAAUCCUUGGAGAUAAAGCAGUGUUCAUCUCUCAUUAGCUUUCCAAAAGGGCAAUUACCCACCACCCUAAAGAAACUAAGCAUACGGGAGUGUGAAAAUCUAAAGUCUCUUCCAGAAGGAAUGAUGCACUGCAAUUCCAUUGCCACCACCAACACCAUGGACACGUGUGCCCUUGAAUUCUUAUUUAUAGAGGGGUGUCCGUCUCUGAUUGGUUUUCCGAAAGGUGGGUUACCUACCACUCUCAAGGAACUCGAAAUAAUUAAGUGUGAAAGGCUAGAGUUUCUACCAGAUGGAAUAAUGCACCACAAUUCCACCAAUGCUGCUGCUCUUCAAAUCCUGGAAAUCUCUUCAUAUUCAUCUCUCACAUCCUUCCCAAGAGGGAAGUUUCCUUCCACCCUUGAGCAACUUUGGAUUCAGGAUUGUGAACAACUAGAGUCAAUUUCAGAGGAGAUGUUUCACCCUACCAAUAAUUCACUUCAAUCUUUACACAUCGGGGGGUAUCCUAAUCUCAAAGCCCUGCCAGAUUGCCUCAACACCCUUACGGAUCUAAGUAUUGAAGAUUUUAAAAAUCUGGAAUUGUUGCUUCCUCGAAUAAAAAACCUCACUUGUCUUACAGAGCUUUCCAUCCAUAAUUGUGAGAAUAUCAAGACCCCCCUAUCCCAAUGGGGCCUUUCCGGACUCACCUCUCUUAAAGACCUUUCCAUAGGAGGCAUGUUUCCAGAUGCAACUUCCUUUUCGAAUGACCCCCGCUUGAUUCUUCUUCCUACAACUCUCACCUCCCUUUCCAUUUCACAAUUCCAGAAUCUGGAAUCCCUAUCCUCCCUGUCUCUCCAAACCCUCACCUCUCUUGAACAGCUAUGGACCGACAAUUGCCCGAAGCUCCGGUCAAUUUUGCCAAGGGAAGGACUGUUGCCUGACACCCUUUCACAACUGCAUAUGUGCCAGUGCCCAUAUCUAAAACAAAGGUACUCGAAGGAGGGAGGAGAUGAUUGGCCCAAGAUUGCCCACAUCCCCUAUGUGAAAAUUCAAUAGAAACACAUCUUUUGAGCAAUAAAUAAGGUAUUACAUCUCAUUCCCAACACGCCAUUCUUCUUCUUUCUCUCCUCAACACCACUUUCAAUUUCUCUUACCUACUACUGCAAUGUUCUAAUUGGACUUAUUUUUUUAUUAAAAUUUUCAACUAGAAAGCAGCUCUUCACAUGGCUCCUAACUUGGCAUUUUCUCUUUAAUCCACUGCAAUCAGAAAUGAGGAUCACUACUUCUCCCUUGCCAGGUGCAAAUUCAAUUUAUGAUGCAAUCUUAUCCUUGAGAUCUAUGUGUUUACCUCUGUUAUUAAGUUCCUUUUGGUCUUUCCUUUUAUAUGUAGGUGCAUUUUUAGUGCUUGGAAUGUAAAAAGGAGAAGAGAGGAUUAGCUCCCUUUAUAGAUGGAUGACAAAUGGCUUCUGGGCAAAAUUAUCUUCAGCUACGUGUAAGUAUCAUUGUUUUUCCAUUGUUCUAUUGAAUUUUAAUGUAUGUCUCAUUCGUUUUUCCACUAGAUGAACUACAUACCAUAUUUAAGCAUCUACAUAUUCAUAAUUGUUCAAUUCUGUAGUCUAUAGCUAGUGGAAUGAUGCAUGAUGACAACAAUAGCCAUAGGAAUUGUCUUCUUGAAUCGUUAGAGAUCAAGGGAUUUCCAUCUUUCACAUCCUUUUAGAGAUAUGAGUCACCCAUUUACUUUAAAGCAAAUUAAUAAUAUUUUGGUACAAGCAAAUGGGGCCAAUUAAGAACAGAAAUUAUAGAGAAAAUGUCAUUUGAAGCCUUUCAUGGUUGGUUCUAUUUGAAAAAGAAUCUUUUCUAGGUGCGUCAUGGCUCUCGUAAAUUGCAUAUCAAUUGUGAACUCGUAAGCAUAAUUGACUUUAGUUUGAUACUAAUCUUGAUUUGUAAAUUAUGAUGUUUUUGUUUUUUGUUAUUCAUUUAUUUUGCGAUUCCUUAAUGAUUGAUACUUAUGUUGAUUUAAUCUUUCUUAGCUCAGCUGAUUUUAACUCAUUUUUUAAAAUUAUUUUAUUGUCUAGCCAUCAAAUCCUUUUGGAGUUUUUAAUAAUAUAAAUUAGGUACUUAUGAUGAUGAUAUUCUUAAGUUUUGGGGUCAUUUGUUUUUUUGCUAGAAUCAAGCAUGUUCAUUCACCAUAUAUAAAUCUUAUCUUCUUAAACAUUAACUUCAGAUUUUUUUUAUAUGGAUUUUUUUGUUGUGCAUGUAGUAUGCUCAAAUGGGUUGCACAUCUUGUUGGAGUGACAAUGUCAAAUAAGAUGUACAUUAUACGAAUAUUUGACCAUCUGAGAAGCAUCUGAAUCUGGAAACUACCAGUGUGCCUCUACAACCUUAGAAUUCCUCACAUAAGAAAAUGUGGAUCUCAAGUCCCUACCUCAUCAGAUUCAGAGUCUCACAUCUUUUCAACAGAUUCAGAGUUUCACAUCUCUUCACAUGGUCCAGGUUCUGGACUUCUUUCAGAAAGCAAUUUCACUAAUACAAUUGCAAGGGUAUUAAGACACCUUGUCUUUGUGGACCCUCCAAAGAUUCGCCUUUCUCAAAACUCGAUUCAUUCAUUUUAUAUUGUGCAUUGUUAAAUGCAGUUUCCUUUCGACAGUAUUUCUUGCUACAACUCUCAUUGAUCUUUCAAUAAAAAGACUCUCAAAUCUGGAAUCCUUAGCCACCUCCCUUGGUCUUCAAAACUUCAUCUCUGUUCAACUUGUAGAGAUUGAGGAGUGCCCUGUUCUAGUCCCCAUUGCCAAGUGAAAGGCUAUCUGCUGAGUUUUAUCGAGUGUCCACUUCUAAAUCAAAGAUGUUUGAUGGAGAAUAAUGGAGAUUGGCCCCAGAUUGCUUGCUUAGCCUAAUGUGAGAAUAGAUCAUAAAGUCAUUUUUGAACCAUAAUAAGUUCAAAUUGCAAAAAUGGGUGUAGAGGCAAUUCAGUCUUCUCCUAUCCUUACAUUUAAUAAGGUAACUCUUAUUCUCAAUAGACAUUUCUUACCCUUUUAUCUGCACAGUACCAUGUCAAUUUCUCAUAUUGAUGUUGUUUUCUACUAGUGGCUUAGCUAUUUGCGAAAGUCUCCAUGGAGUUGUGUUAGAAAGUUUGACUAGGAAGCAGGUUCAAUGUAAGCAUCUCAAGUUCUACCUUUGAUGAAAUCUUGGUAAUUUUCUUGUAGGUGCUCUCUGAGCAGUUUUAGUUGGAGAUUUGACAUGCAGGCAUAGGAAAAAAAUGACAAAGGAGGGUCCCAUUUGACAACAGUUACAAAUUGGCAUGGAUGUCGCGAUUUCAAUGUAAGCAUCUUUAGUGGUACUCUUCUAAUCGGAUUUUAAUACAAUUUUCUAAUUUCAGUAUAAAAUGCACAAUGUUUUCAUGAAUAAGUGCACUUUAUGUCAAAAUAUCUAUUUUCCGUAAUCAAUGAAAUAACAGAUUUUCCUUUUAGAAUGAAUAAUGAAAAAAAAAUUUACUGUAUAGUUAUUUAUGAUCCUGAGUCAUUUUAUUCAGGUUUUCACAUUGUCAAAAGGAAGGAUUCAAUUUGUUGUAUGUUCAAUGCUCUUAUUGUGUUGACAAAAUGGGAUUUGGAGUUCACGUUGGAGAUUACAAGUUUGAACUGAAUGCAAGUAACACCUCUUUUACUUAUUAUUUCUGUUUUUACUUUUUUUUUUUUCUCUUUGAGGGAAAAUAUGUCUAACCUCCAUAUUUAUUUUACAGUGUCUACAACACAGCAUGUUCUUAUGUCUCUUGGAAAGUUAAGAACCUUGUUUAAAAUCAAGUAUACGUUCUAUACUAAGAAGUCUCUUGCGUUGUGAUUGUAAUGAUCUUGAAUAGCAACUUGCAUCUGUUUUGAUGAGUGGAGAACUCAAGACAACAUAUGGAUUUCAUAUUAAUUUCUCAAUCAAUGUGCAAUGUGUUUUUUUAUGGAACAUUGCUAAAAAAAUUUAUAAUUUUGUUUUUUAUUGUUUAUGAAUCAUUACAAAAAAUUUAUUGCAGACAAUUAUCAGGAUUCAUUAGCAUGAAUUUUAUCCAACAUACAAGCUUUUAGGUGACUGAUAAAAACUAAAAAAUUUUAUAUUUUGUUUCCUUUGAAAUUCUCUUCAUUUUUAAACCAGCAUACUGUUAAUUUGUUUGCAACGUGUUAUAUUUAUAGAAAAUUUCCUUAUCUAGAUUUAUACUGCAGAUUUGAACAAUGCUUGAAAUGAAGAACACUUUUUGGCAUGUCCUGCUAUCUUGAGUUGCACAAGUCAGAGGCUCAAAGAGCACAAACUCUUAUGACUGGAGGAAAGACAACUGACUUCUCAUUCUAUGGUGAGCAGUGAGCAUUCUAUUGUGAGUUGUAUGGUAUUCUUUGAAUUGCACACAACCUUAUUUAGCUUGCAAAUACUUAAUGCAAUUGUGCAUGGCCAUGAAAUGAACUCAUACUUAACACAAUUGUGAGUUAUAUGAUAUGUUUUCUUAUUUUCGUUUGAUUUUGUAUAGAUUCAUGGGUGAGAAGAACCUCCUAGUAACUUCAAACUUUAACUUUAAUAGCUGAGGAACAUUUGGUUAUUGCAAUACUAAUGUUUUUUGGAAGCUAGUUACAGUAUUCUUGGGUGAAAAAAUCUGUGUAACCACCUAGUAACUUUGAACUUAAACUUUAAUACCUGAGCAAUAUUUGGUUAUUGCAAUACCUAAUGUUUUUUGGAUGCUAGUUGCAGUAUACAUGGAUGAAAAAAUGUGUUUCUAUUUUUUUUUUGUUAUUAUUUUAAUUAGAUUCAUGGCCUUUAUCCAUUCCUUACAUAUUCCUAAUAUUAUGAAGCUUACUUGUUUUCCCAAAUUGCUUAUGGUAUGAUAGAAGUGAAAGCAUUAAAUUGUUAGUUAAAAGAAAUAAUCUGUUUGCUGCAGGAGAUUGGAGAUGAGAUUACAACAUGAUCUCAUGUCCUUUGUAAUUUGUAGAUUGAGGGUUUUCAAUAGGCUAUGCCCCAAUACCAGUGAAAGAAGAAGAGUUGUCAUGAAAGCAACUAACAUUAGUACCUUGUAUCUCAAGUUUCAUAGAGAGUUGAUAAUUGAAUUGGUGCCCAAGACAUGGUCUUUUUCCCAAGAUAGGUGUGUUGUGCAUGCCGACUAGAUGCCCUGUUCAAAUUAUAGGGCUUUGGGUUCCUUAAUGAUUGGAAUGAUCUCUAGAAUUCUUGCAUAUUUCUAAAUGUCAUGUCACAUCUUUCCAAUAGACUAGUGUCUUUCAGUGCUCUAAAUCGUGGAAAUCAUGAGUUAGCUAAAAUUUGUGGUCUGCAUUAGAGAAGAAUUGUUUGAUGCUCUCACUACUGGCUACAUCUCUUGCCCUUGCAACUGCAUAUCUUUUAAUCCUCUUUGGUGAGAAAAGAAUAAAGAAUGUGAACAAGUUGUACCACGAUGACUUACAUUCCUAAAGUUCUAGUUGAUGAUGUACCUUACUGAAAUUGAAGAGUGAGAAAUGUCAAAGACAUCCCUUAUCUGAGUGAGGCCUUCAUAGACUCCUGACUUUGAAACAACUCAUGAUUGAUAGUAUACUUUAAGAUGUGUUUCUUCUUAGAUGACCAAGGCCUACCCCUUCUUCCAAUGUAUCUCAUGUAUAUUUUCAUGUAAAGAUUCCAAAAUCCAUGACUUCCCUACAUCACCAAGACCUCACCUAAGCUCCAGUGUUGUUUGGCAACUGAAGGAGAACCCUGCCAUGGUUUCAGGGCUAUGCAUCAGAGACACAACUUCUAAAUCCAAUGAUGAGACAUCAGUUCAAGAUUGCUCACAUCUCUUAUUUGGAAAUAGAUGAAGAGAUUCAUCUUUGAUCCAUAAUAGUUGGGAUUCCAAAAAUGGAAGCAGGUAGAGUUCACCCUGUUCUAUCCAUAUAUUCAGUAAGUUUCAUCUAUUCCCAACACAUAAUUCUUACAUUUUAUCUUCUUGUUAUGAUUAUAAAUUGUCAUACUAUUGAAAUUUUCUACAAGUUGAGCUACUAGAGAAUCCCUACACUGAACCUUUUUGUUGAAAACUUGACUAGGGUGCAGCUUCUGACAGCAGUUACAAGCUUUAAGGCUUGACAUUUUCUAUUCAAAGUUUGUUCCCCUUGUUGGUCCCUCCUAUAGUCCCAUGUAAGCAUCAAUGUUUUUCUAUCUCCCAAUUUAAAUUUUCACACAAUACUUUAACUAAACGAAUUCAUUUAUGUUAACAAGAUGUUCUAUUUGGUGUAUUAUUGCAGGAUUAUUUUUGCGACAGGUUCUCUAACUGCUUAUUCACCAUGUUUCCUACUUUGCUCAGGUGUAGUGACAUUCCAAUUGGAUAUCUGGAAUUUAUAUGUUGUAAUGAAUGAGAAUCUACUAGCUUCAUGCUUCCUAGAGAGCCAAUAAUUGAUGGUUGCAUGCCCAAGUCUAGGGACAAGUUUUUCAUCCAAUGUAAGAAGGCUGACAGUUUAAAAUUGCAUAUAGGACUCUGCGGUUGUUAUUGAUUGGAAUGAUUCACAAUUCAAGCAAUAGCAAUUCUCUAGAACUCUUUCAGAUUUCUAAAUGUCCUCCUCUCAUGUGUUUCCAAGGGGCCAGUUUCCUGCAUAUUCCUAAUGAAGGUGGAGAUUCUUAAUUGCCAAAAUUUGGAGUGUAGAGUAGAUGAAUGUUGUCAAAUGCAAAAAAGGAACACUACUUCAAUUGAAUACUGGUAUGCUACUUGUCUCUAUCUCUCAUAUUAUUGUCAAGAAAUGCCUUACCUGAUGCUUAAACACCUUGGUAUUUAUGAAUGUGGAAAACAUGUUUUGUUUUUGUGUGAUGUUCCCCUUCCACUGUUGCCAUUUGUUUGUGAACUAGUUGUGGUGGUUGCCCACUUGGCCUGUCUCAAUUCCUUGUUUAUUGGCAAUAUUCCAAAGCUUAAUUCUCUUCCCAAAUCACAUACUAGAGUACAAGUGAUAGAAUUAGACAUUGUUGGUUGCAAGGAAAUCAUCUGUUUGUGUCAAGGAGAUUGGAGAUCCGAUAACAACAUAAUCUAAUUUCCCUUUGUAAUUUGAAGAUUAAGGGUUUUCAAAAGCAUUUUCUCCGGUAUCAGUGUUGGAAGACAAGCUGCCACAGAAACAACUAGCAACUUUGAUUGAGUUGGUGUCUCAAGUCUCCCAAAGAACUCACAAUUGAGUUGGUGCUCAAGUCAAUUUACUUCCCCAAGAUAGGUUUGUUAUUGCACAGCUUAAAAUUAUAGCACUUUGAUUCCUUACUGAUUGGAAGGAUUUUCAUGAUAGCACACAACAUGUCUAUGGAAUUCUUGCAUUUUUCUAAAUGUGUUGUCAUGUUUGUUGAAUAGGCUAGCUUCCUCCAAUGCUCUAAAAUGUGGAGAUUACAAGUUGCUAAAAUCUGUGUCUAUAUUAGAUGAAGAUGGGGUGAUUCCCAAGAACAACUGCGCAUCCCUUGAAUCAUGUAUGUUGCUCAGUCUCCGCACUAAGCUCCAUUUGUAUUUGGCAAGUGAAACUAUAUUUGAGAGACAGAACUCCUAAAUCCAAUGAUGAGAGAUGACCCAGAGAUAGCUCGCAUAUCCUGUGUGAAAACAGAUGGUGAGAUUCAUGUUUGAUCUAUAAUGGUUCACUACAAUAGCAGAAGCAAGGAGAUUUCACCAUAUCCUAGUUUCAUACCAUUGAAAUUUCCUACAAGUGGAGCUAUUUGGUGAAUUUUGCACUUAACCUUUAUUGUUAAAAAACUUCACUAGGGGGCAGCUUUUAACAGCAGUUAUAAGCUUUAUGGCUUUACAUUUACGAUUCAAUGUUUGGUCCACUUGUUGGUCCCUCCCACAGUCCAAUGUAAGCAUCAGUAUUUCUCUCUCCCAAUUCAAAUUUUCAAGCAACUUCAUCAUUCAACUGGAUGAAUUCGUUAAUGUUAAUAAGAUUUUCUUUUUGGUGUAUUCCUACAGGAUUCUUUCUAUGAUGGGUUGUCCAACUUCACUUUCAGCUUUGCUUCUAUAGUUCAUUCAAGUGUAGUGAAAUUGGCCAGUUGGAUGUCUACAAAUCAUAUGGUGCAAUAUAUAAGAAACCAUCAAGAGGGUGCACAACACUGAGUCUAUUAGAGGGAUGGUUGCAUGCCCAGGAAACAUCUAUCGCAGGGACAGAUUAUUAUGUAUCUUUGGAGUUAUUACUGAUUGGAUUGAUUCAAAAGUAGCAACGGGCCUCUGGGAUUCUUUCAGAUUUCUAAAUGCCCUAUUUCCAUGUCUUUCCAAGAAACCAGCUUCCUGCAAUCCUAAUGAAGGUGGAGAUUCUGAGUUGCCCAAAGCUGGAGUUCAAACUAAAUGAAUGUUGUCGAAUGAAAAAGUAGAACAUCACUUCUUGUGAAUACAGGUAUGUUGCUUGUCUCUUCUCUCACAUCAUUAUCAAGAGAUGCAUUACCUAAUACUUAAACACUUUGGUAUUUAUGAUUGUGGAAAACAGAUUUUGGGUGGUAGAGAAUGGAAUAAUGCACCACAACACGUUUCUUGUACAUCUUGCAAUGAUGUUCUUCCACAAUGAUCAAAAGAAACAAAGUAGUCAAAACUAAGCAAUGACACGAUUUUUCCUCACGGAGGAAGGUGAGGGAAAGGAAAGGAUGCAACCCAAUGAUCAUAAAGGACAGCACUCACAUUUCCAACUGGGCCCCGAAUUUCCCACCGGCUCGGAAAAUUCUAGCCCCAAAUUUGUAUACAUGCCCAUCAUCAAUAUUAGUAAUUGGUUUCUGACAGAUUUGCAACAAUUUAACACAACUACAAGGUUUAGUGUGAUGGGAGUGUCUGUGGUGGUCAAGAGUGCAAGGCAGGAUCCAUAAGAAAUAUCCAAAGUAGGCCUUUAUAGGAUUUUUUUAUUUUAGUAUAUUUUCAUAUUACAUAUUAUACACAUUACACUUCCCAAAUUACUGUUUAAACUUGAGGGGAAAAAAAGGUGUCAUAUGACAAUAUCUAACUAUAGUUUACCAAAAACUUCAUACAGAAAGAGUAUAACUCAACUCAGGAAGAAAUAUUUUUCCUAUCUCUACCCUGGUUCUUUUAUUUUUUAGUGCCUUGACAAGUUAUAAAAAAGAAACAGAAUGAUUCAACCAUAUGAUAAGCCCAUCAAUACCAUAAACGGAAGAUAAUAGUUUCUACAAUUUACCUUCAGUGUAGAGUCCUUGCUUCCAAUGAAAAGAAGCCUACUAUCAGCAGACCAACUGUAAGGCAACAUGAAACAAGAUGAUUGUCUGUACAAAAGAAAGGAUUGGCUUAAACAAAAAUAAUAGAGCAAUUCAAACCUUAUCUGAUAAACAGGGCCGACAUGACCUCGAAAAGCGGCAACAAAUUUCCCUGUUGCACCGUUCCAUAGCUUGACAGACUUGUCAAACGAAGCACUUGCCACCCAUUGUCCAUCAGGGGAAAAGUAAACAUGGUUCACAAGCUGACAGCGAGCAAAACAUUAAAGGCUCAACUUAAGAGUUUGAAGAAAGAAAUCGAUGCAAUUGGAUAGGUUCAAAAUUUAGGGUCUCUUUACCAUGCAUAGAGAACUUCAUUGAUAAUUGAGAAUUGGAGGAACACUUCCAGAUCAUAAUAGGUCAUUAGUGAAAGCAUUCCCUAAGAAUGCUAGAGUGGGUCUAGCCAUUGAGGUGGAGAUUUCAGUGUUGAUGAAAGGGCUAAAGCUUGCUAAACCCGAGGGUUUAUCUAGUCUUCUAGUAGAAGGAGAUUCUACAGUAGUGAUAUAUUGGGUAAAUGAGGAGAGAAGCUCGUGGCAGUUUGAUGGAUGGCUACACCAAAUUUUUGACAUUACUCCAAGUUGUUAAAUUGAUGGAUUCCAAUUUAACAACUUUCUUUCUUAUUCAACAUUUUUUAUCAAUCUAUGAACAUAAAAAAUGACUAAUAUUCCAAUGUCAUUUUGUAGCUGAGCUUUUGGGUUCAUCCAAGCCCAGUGCUCUGAAAAGAUGAUGCAUGUCUGGAAAGAAAAGACAAAAUCAGACAUGUUUCACAUUCAAGGGUCCAGUAGUACUCUAAAAUGCAAUCUAAGAAAAAACAUCAAAAAGCGUUGAUUGAUAGUUUUUGUUUUUGCUUUCUUUUCUUUUUUCUUUUUUUAAAUCAGGAAAAGCAUUGAUUGAUAUGCAGAUACCAUGUCUGUAACAACCAGAGAAUGCUUCCAUGGAGGCUAGCUAAAGGGUCUGGAAAAAAUGGGCAUGAUUUUGAAAAGGAAAUAAUACAAAUUGAGAAAAUUACAGAGAUUCCAAACACAUGAUUUUAAUUGGCAACAUAAUUAGAUAUAUAUAAAUGCUGCAAUAGGGCUCGUACUUCCAAACCGAAUAGUUUCAUUAAUGCAUGGACAAAGUUGAUGAUUUUGUUUAUGCAUUUCUGUGAAAGAACAAGAAGGAACACCAUAAAAACAAGGAAACAAAAAUGGUAAGUGCAAAAUCCUAAGAAGUGUUAAAUUGACCUGUAAGAGCUAGUAGUUCAGAUGGUACCAGGAGGGCAACCACAAAGAUUAAGGUCUUGAGUUCGAAUCCUAGGGACGUCACCCUCAAGGGCCAAAUAAACAAAUGGCCCCAUAAGACUCUGCGCUUUGCCUUAUGGUCUUGAGUAGUCUCUGGACUCGAGGGCAAACCAUAUACUCCGGGCGGAUAAGACAAAUGACAUCCAACAAGAAGGAUAUAAAAAGAAGGUUGGGUUUAAAUUUAAAUUCAACCAACAAAAGAUUACCUCCUUCAUUUCCUCUGGAGAUGUAUAUUGUUUGCCAGUAUGAUCAAAAGCUCUAGUGCGAAGAACAUAUUCAUUGCUCAAUGCAAGGGAAUUAACCCAAUGCCUAUGGCCCUAACAUCAAUUAAAAUAUUGUAUGUGUGUUAAGAUGUUUUAAAGCUAUAAUAACAAGGUUCUGAGAACCUAACCAAGACUAACUAUAUGAUUAGUAUGUUAUCUAGACUCCAAUAUUAAUUUCAUGUGCGUUACAGGGGCUUCUGGGUACAUAGCUUCAUGGCUUGUCAAGCUCCUGCUCCAACGUGGCUGCACCCCGUCAAUGCAUCAGUUCGCGACCCAGGUAUGUAUUCAAUCUCUCCUACAAUUCCCAUAUUUCUGUCUUAUCUAGCUAUAUCAAAUACCCUCUGUUUGGCCGCCCAGAAAACCUGGGAAAUUGCGGUAAAGAGGGGGUUAGUUUCCAUUUUUGAGUCUUCUGACCCGAAUAAUGAAUAACCCAAGAUUCAAUAUUUAGCUUCUUUUCUUUUUGUCGCCAUUUCAGCACCUAGCCAUAGUUAAAAGGCAUUAACUAUUUUAGAUUUAGUUCGAAUUUCAAUUUUUCAUAGGGCGAUUCCUAUUUUGAUCUAAGAAUAUGAAGGAAAAGGCAAAGUAAAGGAGGGGGUUUUUGUGCUUGGAGUUUUUUGACCACAUGAUGAAUGACCCAUGAUUCAAAAUUUUAAUCAGAGACAGAACCCGAGUGUUAAUUACUUCUAUAAUUGUAAACUUCUCUGUAUAAUCCCAAUUUUAAUGGAUAAUGUUUUGAUGCCAAGAAAGUAAAGGAGAAGGUUUCUGUGUUUUAAGUCUUUUGACCAAAUCAUGAAUGACCCAUGAUUCAAAUUUAAAUGAUUAGUCCUGAUUUUGAUCUGUCAACAAUUCAUUGUUUUUAUGAUUUUUAGGAUUUAAUUGCAGCCACCAACUUGAAAAUGCAUGUGACAUAGUGAUUUGGCUAAAUUUUUGGAGAAUUCUCAUUGGGAAGGACCUUGAAGGCAUAUUCUUUGAUGUGGGACUCACAACAACAUGACAAUUUUACGAUUUUAGUAGUUUUGAUACUGGUUUGUAAUGACUAUGAAUGAGAGCUUGGGUUCAUUUUGGUUUUUGAACCUGUUAGUUUACCCAGCUUGAUCAAUGGCUUUUAGGAAUCAUGUAUACAAGUCACAAACUUUGCUUCAGCGCUCUUUCAUGAAAUAGUUCUUUACACGCCCUUUUUCUGCAUGAUUAACAGGCCCUUUUUUCUCAUUGAUUUUCUGUACAAUUUAUUUGUUCUAUUGAUCAAUGCCUCAGAUGAUCCAACAAAGACAGAACGCUUACUAGCACUUGAUGGGGCUAAAGAAAGGCUUCAUUUGUUUAAAGCCGUCUUCCCGGAAGAAGGAUCUUUUGAUUCUAUGGUAGAUGGAUGUGAAGGUGUUUUCCACACAGCAUCUCCAUUUUGUCACACUCUCUCUAAUCCACAGGUUCAUCCUACAUCACUUCUUUUGCUUUAUUGUAAAUUUAAUAUGUAGAUAUGUUAUCCAAGUUUUUGUUAUUGGCUUUUGUUUGAACAUUCAUUUCGGAGUUAUGGGACCACAGAGUUGCAACCAAUCAUGUCUUCAUCUAGAAAUCCACCAAAACCGACUAUCAUCCAGUGUUUUUCUAUUACACAAAAUCAUUCUACAAAAUUGUAAAUUAUCAUGGAAACUGAAUCUGCAUCUUGGCUUCAAAUGAAGGGAUAGGACCUCCUCUUAGCAGAGAUAGCAAAAUCUGAAUGUCCUUUCACUAAGCACGAUCUUGGCUAUAUGAUUUAUCUCACUCAGAGAGCUUUUUCUUGCUGACUUGAAGCAGAAGCCUGUUAAGCAUAGUUAGCUCCCUUUGGCACCUUCUAAGUCUGUCAGUUCAGAUCUUUCAAGGACUUCUGCCUCAAAAGUAGUGGGGAAGAUGGGCUUCAGCCACUCAAUCCUCAAAAGAUUUUACUUUUAUAAUUUGUGAAUGCAUUUUUUUGUGUCAAGGAUUUAGCUUGUGUUGUUCAGUUGCUCUAAUAUAAAAUCUCCAUGAAGUUAUACUCUUUUAGUUUGUAGGACCACUUCAUUUGUAAUAUAGCUAAAUCUUUUUGACUCAAACAGUUGGGCUUAUUUGAUGUUACAGAGAUGCUGUCAAUGCACAUAUCCAAGCGAUUGAGGUUCCUUCAGCUAAUUUUAUAAAUUCUAGUUGGAUUUAGACCAAGGUUUAGAUGGUCCAUAUUCAAUUCAAACCGAAUUUUAUACUUUUAUAAAAAUUUUAAUUUAUAUUAUUUCAUAUAAGAAUAAUUAUUUUGUGUUUUUUCUUUAAUUUAUAAAGAAAAAAAUGUCAAAUUAUAAUUAUUUUACAUACUAUUUCAGUUUUUAUUAGAAAGAUACAUAAAUUUUUCUUCUUUUUUUCUUUUUUUUCUUAUUAGAUUAUACGUGAUGCGAUUGUUAGUCCGCUUUAGAAAUAUGAAUCACAUAAUUAUGAAGAUUAUGUUAUAAAAAGCAGAGAAAAACUUGGCAAAUAUCAUAACUUAUGGUAUUAAUUCUCAUAAAUAUGUUUUUAGCCGAUAACGCUUUCAUCAAUAGUUAGUUAAGAAAAAACAUUUUUGUAAAGAAGCGGAAAACAAAAAAAGUGGUUAGAAAAUAUUGAAAAAAAAAAGUCUAUUAAGUGCUAAUUCAAAGUAAAACUAUAUAUUUAAUUUUUUUUAAGGAUUUAAGAAUUCUUUUUUAAACUCAGGUUGGGUUUGGUGGGUUGGGGGGGGGGGGGGGGGGGGUGGUUUGAGCCUUAUUUAUAUAUAAAAUUAAAUACAAAAAAUAAAAAUUGUUUAAUCAUGUAAUUUGAAAACGGUUUUCCAUUUUUAAAAAUAGAAAGAGACAAAAUGAAAUAAAAAAUAAUUUUUAGAAAACAAGUAGAAGUUGUUUUGUUUUCAUCGAUUUUUAAAAAUAAAAGAAAAAUAUGAAUUCGUUUGAUCAUGUUUUUAAAAUUUAUUUAAAAUUAAAGAUUAAAAAAUAAUUUUUAAAAAUAAGUUUCAAAAAUCACGUAAAACGAUCCCUUAUUUUUUUAUUUCCCUUUUUUAAAUAUGUUUAAAAUAAAAUUACAAAUUUACUUUUUAUCAAAUAAAAAUAUAAAAUUUAUGAAAACCAAUUUAUUUAGUCAUAAAUUAUUUCGAUUUUAAUAAAAUUAAGGUUUAGAAUAAAAUAAAAUAAAAAACCAAUAGAAAAUUUUAAAUAAUUUUCUAAACUUUAAUUGCUAAACUUAAGAGUUAAGUAAUUAAGAUGGGUUGGGAUGAGGUUGACAUGGUCCAUCAACAUAGCUGUCCAAAGUACAAUAAUUGCUAAACUUCAAAGUUGGUAAUUGGGAUGAAAAUAACAUGACGAAAUUAACAUAAUUGUCCAAAAUACAAUAAUUGUUUCACUUUAAAAUUGGUGGUUGGGAAUUGGGAUAAGGUUGACAUGGUCCCACCAACAUAGCUGUCCAAAGUACAAUAAUUGCUAAACUUUAAAGUCGGUGGUUGGGACGAAAUUAACAUAAUUGUCCAAAAUACAAUAAUUGUUACACAUUAAAGUUGGUGGUUGGGAUGAGAAUUUAUAAACAAUAUAAAUCCUGUAUCUAAAAUUACUAGGGCCUUGAAAUUGACUCAAAAUUUGGAAUCAAGGCAAGGUCAAAAAUGGUGUCUAUAUUACUUUUUAAUUUCCAUAUUUUUUUUAUUUUCUUCUAGACCCACCACUAUGCCAUUAAAAUUGGCUAAAAAUUAUUUGAAAUCCAAAGUCAUAUUCCUUUUCACCCUAACAACCAUUGAGACGUUACAUUGGUAGAAAACAUUAUUGGAAUUAAAGUGGUAUUUAGUAUUUACUAUUUAUAAUAUCAAUUUUUUAUCUCUAAAAUUGUCUUUUGAUGUUCUAUAAUCCAUGCCAAUAAAAUAUAGAUACGAAAUUUGGACUUGGAUUUUUAUAUGCUACAAAGUAGAAUAGAUUUGAAAACAUAUUUAAAUAAUAUUUUUUUAAAAAAAAUUAAUUUAAAAUUUUGUUGUAUUUUGUAAAAGAAUCUCAAUAAUUGUUUCUCUGAUAAUUGUUUACAAGGGCUCCACUUGUCCGGAACCAAUUUUAUGUCCUUUUUCCAUUUUGUGGAACCUACCACUCUUAAAUUGUAUUGCUAAAGACAUCAUGGGAAUCCAAGGUCCCAUUCACUAUUCAUUAGAUUAAACUUUUAUAUAUGAAAAAAUAUAUUUGAUUCUUAAAAGUGUUUUUAAAGUAUAUUUGAUAGUGAUUUUGAAAAGUAUUUAUAAUAUUUUUAAUGCUUGAAAAAUAAAAAUUUUCAAUUAUUAGAAAAAUUAAAAAUAUUUUUUAGAAUCACUAUGAAAUGCACUUUUAAUAGUGAUUUUAAAAAAUGUUUCUAAUUUUUCUAACACUUAAAUGAUAAAAAAAAAUUAGUAUUAAAAAUGUUAAAAACGCUUCUUAAAAUCAUUACUAAAUGAGUUCUUAGUCUUUCUUGCAUUUAAAAAUUUUAUCUUUCAAAUAUUAAAAAAAAAUUAGAAAUAUUUUUUAGAAUCACUACUAAUCGCACUUAAAAUUGCUUUUUAACUCUUUAUAGUGAAUAACAAUGGACUAUAAAUAAGCAAAUUAUAUUAGGAUUAAUUAAGGAUUUUUCAUUAAAGAAGGCUAUCGAUUGCACUCAUGGAAUGACAUUGGCCACUUCAAAAAUUAUAAAUUAGGUGGAUAUUAUGGUAUUAGAAAAGUAAUUUUUCGAUGUCAUACAAAAAAGUGGUGGCAAAUAAGACACCAUCAUAUGAUAAAAAUAGUUUCACUUGCUUGUUAUUUGAUCUAGAUUUUAUUUAUUUGUACUUAAUUCCUUUUUUUUUGUACUUAAAUGUCAUUUUUUUGUUUUGGUUCUAUUUUUUUAACUCGAUUUUAUAUAUUUAAGGUAAUUACUUAGAAGCUAUAUAACAUCACCUUAAACCUCAAAAAUUCCAUCUUAAUUCAUUUUCACAUUUUUCUUUUCAGACCCACUACAUAACUUCAACUUUAGAAAAAUCAUCUUAUAGCCAAGGUAAUUGUUUGGAAUGUGUUGUAACAUCACUUCAAACCUAAAAAAUUUCAUCUUAAUUUCCACAUUUUUCUUUUCAGACCCACUACAUGGUUCCAACUUUGGAAAAAACAUCUUAUAUUCAAAGCAAUUACUUGGAAGGUGUUGUAACAUCACCUCAAACCUCAAAAAUUCCACCUUAACUUCCACAUUUUUCUUUUCAGACCCACUACAUGGUUCCAACUUUGGAAAAAACAUCUUAUAUUCAAAGCAAUUACUUGGAAGGUGUUGUAACAUCACCUCAAACCUCAAAAAUUCCACCUUAACUUCCACAUUUUCUCCAACUUUAGAAAAAUCAUUUUAUAUUCAAGGUAAUUACUUGGAUCGAAGUAUUGUAACAUCACCUCAAACCUCAAAAUUUUCACCUUAAUUUCUGCAGUGUUCUUUUCAGACCCACUACACAGUUCCAACUUUGGAAAAAACCAUCUUAUAUUCAAGGUAAUUAUUCGGAAGGUGUUGUAACAUUACCUCAAACCUUAAAAAUUCUAUCUUAAUUUCCACAUUUUUCUUUUCCGACCCACUACAUGGUUUCAACUUUGGAAAAACCAUCUUAUAUUCAAAGUAAUUACUUAGAAAGUGUUGUUACAUUACUUAGAAAGUGUUGUUACAUUACCUCAAGAAUGUAGGUUAGCAUUUAGAUACAAACCAAAAGAAGUGUUUUAAAAAUGUUUUUGAUCAUAAGUAAUAUAUUGAAAAAAAAAUGUGGUUUUAAAUAAAGUGUGCAUCAAAUAUGAGCUCACAGUGAUAAUCUACAUUUUAAAAAAAAUUCAAAAUACAUAAUUAUUUGUAGAAAAACACUUCUAGCUAUUAAAAAAAAAAAUUAACCCCCUUUUUAUAGUUGAUAUUCCUCCAAGUCUUUAUACUAUGUUUUUAUUUUUAUUUUUCCACAACUAGAGAUUACAAAUGGGAAUGGGUUUAGCAGAGUUUAAAUCAAUUAAGAUUGAAUUUGAUAAUUCAUUUUUUAAAUCCAAGAUUGGGUUAAAUGAGAUUAAGAGUACGUUUUCAUUAAAGUGUUUUUCUAUAAUGUUGAUUAAGACCUUAGAGGACGUUCAUAAAUCAUAUUAGGUUUUACCCAAAUUACCCUCCUAGUCAUCUCAAAUUUUUAUUUUUUUUAUUUCCUUCAAAUAUAUUUUUCUUUUUUAUUUAUUUGUUGAUGGAUCAUAUAGAACAACCAUUCUCUCCCCAUCUUUUUCUUUUUAAAAGAGAUAUUCAAAAAGCACCUUUAGAUUUGGUCUAAAGUAUCUUUAAAUUUGGUCUAAAGUGAUUAAAAGGACAACCUAUCUUUGGACAAUAUAAUUGCAAUUUGAAAAUUAAAACAAAUAUAAUGAGCAUGAAAUUUUUUUACCAACCGUUAUAAUAAUGUUUUUCAAUUGAAGAUUUUUUUAUACCUUAUUAGUUUGGAGAGAAUAUGAAUUAGAAAUUGUGUUAGUGAAUCGUAUUUGUGUCGUGUCAGAUUACAAUAAAUUAAAAACAAAUAAAAAUUAAUUUAAAAUUUGUUUGUAUUUUGUAAAAAGUCCCAAUAGUUGUUUCUCAUGUUGCACUAAUAAUUGCUUACAAGGCUCCAAUUGCUGGGACCCAAUUUUAUAUUCUUUUUCACAUUUUCCAAUUUGUGGAACCUACCACUAAGAAGUUAUAUUAUUAAAAAUAUUGUUGGAAUCCGAAGUCUUAUUCAGUGUCUAUUAAAUUAUUAUUAUUAUUUUUUUUAUCUAUGAAGUUGUUUGUCAACUCUCUAUGAUCGAUAACAAUAGAUUUUUCAUCAAACACGAGUUGAUUGCAAUGGUUGUCCCACUCCACCACAUUUAUUUAUAAAAUUAAAUAAAAAUAAUUUAGUUUCUUUAUUUCGAUUUCCCAUUUAAAAUAUAAUUGAAAAUAUAAUUUUUAUCAAUACUAAAUAUAAAAUUUACAAAAAAUAAUUUUUUUUACUCAUAAAUUAUAUUUAUAUGAAUAAGAUCUAUGUUUAAAAAUAAUAUAAAAUGGUAAAAAUUUUUAAAUAAAACAUGAGGACUAUAACUUAUAACUUAAAUAAUCAAUAUAAGUUGAGGUGAGGAUGAUAUAACCGAUGAACAUGAUUAUACAAAAUACGAUAAAUACUAUAAUUUAAAGUUAGUGAUUGGGAUGAGGAUUACAUCUUCUCAUUAACAUAAUUCUUCAAAUUAAAGUUGGUGCAUACCAUCUCACACUAAUAAUUUUCUCAAAAGUCUUAAUUUCCAUCUUUAGUACUUUUAUCCUUUUCAUAAGUUUCUUAUUUAAGGAUAUGAAACAUGGAAAAAUUUCAUAAUCUUCUCAUCUAAGGGGCCAAGGGGUGAACCACUAAAAAAAUAAGAAGGUAAAGUGUCCAUUCGAUCUAUUUAUUAUUUUUUGUUUUUAAAAUUAGAAAAUUCUAUACAAAAGUAGAACAUGUUAUACAAAAAAUUUAAAUUUAUGUUAUUUUUUUUAAAAUCACUUUAAUUUUUUUUAAAUUGACUUAGUAAUUUUUUUUAAUACCUUAAAUUUUUAAAUGAUUUUUAGAACUAUUAUUUUAUAUAUAUAUAUAUAUAAGUCGCUAAGAAUUCUUAUAUCUUAUAUAAAAGUUAUUUCUAUUUACUUAUUUUAAAAAUAGAAAACAACAAGUUUAUCCAAAUAGACACUAACUUUAUCAUUGUCUUUCUUAUGAUAUAUUUAUGAUUUGUGGAUAUGGAUGACAAUGUGGCAUAUUUUUUCGGAUACCACCCCUAAUUGGAUGAGUUUGAAAUUUAAAAAUUAAGCAAGUUAAGAAUGAGUUUGAGAUUUAAAAAAAAAAAACUCGAAAUAGGUUCGGGGUAGGUUCGAGUAAUGUCUUGUCCUGUUCUGCUUCGCCUUGCCUUGCCCUGUCCCAAUUAUAUAUAAAUUAUAAAUUAUAAAUUAAUUUAAUUUGAUUUUUAUUUUUUUAUUUUUAAUAAAAUAUUUUAUAAAAAUUUAUAAAUUUUGAAUUAUUUAUAAAAUAUAUUUAUUUUAAUAUAAUUAAAAUUUUUUAAAAUAAUAUUAAAAAAAAUAAGGGCGGGGUGACCCAUACAUUCCCACCCCAUUUAAUUUUUUUUUUAAUGAAAUGAGAAUGAAAAUUAUUUUAAAUAAAUGGGGUAGAGUUGGAGUGGGGGCGACUUAUUCCAAUCCAAAAUAAUUAUCAUAUGAAUGGUUGAUUUUAUAAGCAACUAUAUCAACUAAUAUAAAAGAUAUUAUAUGUUAAAACUAAUACCGAUAUUAAGGUUGGUUCAAAAAUUAUUUUGAUAAAAACACUUCUAAUUUAUAGCAUUUCUAUUUUAUAUAUAUAAAUAUAUUUAUCAAAUGUUUAGUUUUUGUUAUAGAAACAUUUUUAGGCAUUUGGAAGCAUUUCCAACUUCCCAAAAUCAUUGUGAAACGGUUCUAACCUUUUUAAAUUUAAAACAUCUUUCCUUUUUCUUUUAUACCCACUAGGCAUUGAAUUGGCUCCAACUUUGGAAAAUCACUCAUCAAAUUUUCUUUUACUUUAUAACUCUUCUCAUUCAUUCCAUACCAAUAAAGUAUAUAGAUAAGUGAAUUGGAUUUGAAUUUUUGGGCUCAAAUAAAUUAUUUCAUUUUAGUCAAAUUAAACUAAAAUCAAGUAGAAAAGAUGUAGCAAUUAUGUAGAUUAGAAAUUAAUUUGUUAAAUAAUAUAUUUUUUUAAAUUAUUUUUAACUUAAAGUCCUUACAUAAGACUAGUUUAACAAACAAAUCAUAGAAAUAUUCAGGUAGGGUCUUGUAUUGAGUUUUAUCACUUAAUGCCAUUAGCCUUUGUUUUUACUUUUUCAAAGAAAGCAAAAGCUUUUGUCACUUUGUCUCCUACUUUCAUUUCAUUCCCCACCCUUUUUUUCUUAACAAUGGACCCACCUCAAUCUUAUCUCUUUCUUUUUUUUUUCAUCAAACCCACCUCCAUCUUAUCUCUAUCUAAAGUUAAUUAGCCUUCCACCAAUAUAAUUAUAAUUUUAUUUAAUAAAAUUUAUUUAACAAAAAAGAUGUAAUAAUAAAGUAUAAGAAAUUAUUAUUAUUAUUUUUUAACUUUUUAUCCUGACAUCUGUUUUUUAUCAUUUUUUUUAAAUCUUAAAUGUAAAUCUCUCUUUAUUUCAUUUAAAUGAAUAGAAGUUAAUAUCAAGAAUAUCAAGAAUAUAUUUUUUAUUUUUAAAAAUAAAAAUAAAAAAUCUUAUAUAAAAAAAUAUAGAUUUAGUUCCUGCCCUAAAAAAUUAAAAUUUAAUGUAGUUUUUUAUGGCUUGGAUCAAUUUUUUUACAUCUUUAUUUAAUAAUCUAGAUUUAUACAUAAAAUUAAAUAAAAAUAAUUCGGUUUCCUUUUUCAUUUCCCUUUUUAAACAUAUUUAAAAUAAAGUUACAAAUUUACUUUUUAUCAAGAUAGAAUUUCAUAAGUUGCAUUUAUUUUAAUAAAAAUAACAGAAAAUAUUAAAUAAGAUAGGAUGGCUAUAACUUCUAAAAACAAAUUCCCUGACCCCAUUCUACUCUAAUACAGGUUUGGGAUGGAAUGAAAAGUUGUUUAAGUAAUCAAGGUGGGUUGGGAAGUUGGGAUGAGGGUAUGACCCCAUUAACAUAAUUGGCCAAAAUUCUACGGACUUUUCUCAAUAGUACGGUAAUUUAAAAAAGUUAUGCUUAAAUUAUUGUAGUAGAAGAAGUUAUUACAAAUAUAUGGUAGUUUUUGCCAUCUAGGAGAGAGGAGAUAGGAGAGAGGAAAGAGGGUGAAUGGAUAAUUUUUUUUAAAACCAAAAUCAUCUUUUCAAAUUUCACAAAAAUUUCAAAAGGAACUCGUCUCUUCAAGAGAUGAGUUCCAUGAAAAAAAAAUAUAGAAAAAAAAUAUUCCUUAAGGGAACUCGAGUUCCCUAAAAAAAAAUAUAUAUUUUUUAUAAAAAAAAUUCCCUUAAAAAAAAAAAGAAAAAAACAAUUCCUCAAGAACUCGUCUCUUGAGUUCCCAUGAAAAUAAAAUAUAUAUAUUUUUUUAAAUUCCCAAAUUAUUAAAUUUUUUUUUUAAAUAUUCCUAAAUAUAAAAAUAAAAAAUAAAAAAUAAAAAAAUUUCCUUAAUGAACUCGUCUCUUCAAGAGACGAGUUCCAUGAAAUUUUUUUAAUUUUUUUUUUAAAUUCCCAAAUUAUUAAAAAAAGAAAAAAAAAAAAAAAAAAAAAGGCAAUUCCUCAAUGAAGAGACGAGUUACCAUGGAAAAAAAAUGUAUAUUUUUUUUAAAAAAUUCCCAAAUUAAUAAAAAAAAAAAAAAAAAUCCUCAAGGGAACUCGUCUCUUGAAGAGACGAGUUCCCAUGGAAAAAAAAAUUUUAAAUUUUUUUUUUAAAUAUUCCCAAAUUUAAAAAAAUAAAAAUAAAAAAUAAAAAAUUUCCUUAAGGAACUCGUCUCUUCAAGAGACGAGUUCCAUGAAAUUUUUUAAUUUUAAUUUUUUAAAUUCCCAAAGGCAAUUCCUCAAGGGAACUCGUCUCUUCAAGAGACGAGUUCCCAUGGGAAAAAAAAAUUAAAAAUUUUUUUUUUAAAAAAAAAAUAUUCCCAAAUUUAAAAAAAUAAAAAAAAAAUAAAUAAAUAAAAAAUUUUCCUUAAGGAACUCGUCUCUUCAAGAGACGAGUUCCAUGAAAUUUUUUAAUUUUUUUUUUAAAUUCCCAAAUAUUAAAAAAAAAAAAAAGCAAUUCCUCAAGGGAACUCGUCUCUUCAUGGAAAAAAAAUGUAUAUUUUUUUAAAAAAAUUCCCAAAUAAAAAAAUAAAAUAAAAAAGUCCUCAAGGAACUCGUCUCUUCAUGGAAAAAAAAAAAUAUUCCCAAAUUUAAAAUAAAUAAAUAAAUAAUAAAAAAUUUUCCUUAAGGUACUCGUCUCUUCAAGAGACGAGUUCCAUGAAAUUUUUUAAUUUUUUUUUUAAAUUCCCAAAUUAUAUAUAUAAAAAAAAAAAAAAAGGCAAUUCAAGGGAACUCGUCUUUGAAGAGACGAGUUCCCAUGGAAAAAAAAUUCCCAAAUUUAAAAAAAAAAUUCCUCAAGGAACUCGUCUCUUGAAGAGACGAGUUCAUGAAAUUUUUUUUUUAAAAUUCCCAAAUUAUUAAAAAAAAAAAAAAGCAAUUCCUCAAGGGAACUUGUCUCUUCAAAAGACGAGUUCCCAUGGAAAAAAAAAAUUAAAACAAAAAGAUUUAAAAAAGAGACGAGGAAUUGUUUUAAGGGAACUCUUUUUUUUUUUUUUUAAUUUGGGAAUUUUUUUAAAAAAAAUAUUUUUUUCCAUGGGAAGUUCCCUUGAGGAAUUAUUAUUAUUAUUUUUUUUAUAAUUUGGGAAUUUUUAAAAUAUAUAUAUAUAUAUAUAUAUAUAUAUAUAUAUAUAUAUAUAUAUAUAUAUAUAUAUAUAUAUAUAUAUAUAUAUAUAUAUAUAUAUAUUUUUAUGGAACUCCUCUCUUAAAGAAAAGAGUUCUUGAAAAAUUGUUUUUUUUNNNNNNNNNNNNNNNNNNNNNNNNNNNNNNNNNNNNNNNNNNNNNNNNNNNNNNNNNNNNNNNNNNNNNNNNNNNNNNNNNNNNNNNNNNNNNNNNNNNNAUAUAUAUAUAUAUAUAUAUAUAUAUUUUCAUGGAACUCGUCUCUUCAAGAUACGAGUUCUUGAAGAAUUGUUAUUAUUUUUUUUUUAAUUUGGGAAUUUUUUUAUAAAAAAUAUAUAUAUAUUUUUUUUAGGGAACUCGUCUCUUGAAGAGACGAGUUCCUUUUGAAAUUUUUGUGAAAUUUGAAAAGAUGAUUUUGGUUUAAAAAAAAAAUUAUCCGUUGACCCUCUCUCCUCUCUCCUAUCUUCUCUCUCCUAGGUGGUAAAAACUACCAUAUAUUUGUAAUAACUUCUUCUAAUAUAAUAAUUUAAGCAUAACUUUUUAAAAUUACCGUAUUAUUGAGAAAAGUCCUACUUUCCACCUCCCCGUCUUUCUGCUUCAUUAAUUUGUGUCCACACUGCUUUGCUUUCUAUCCCUCUCUCUCACUCUCUCUGCACACCGAUCACCAUGGAAGCUGUUGGAGAGGCUCUUCUUUCCUCUUUCGUUCAACUCUUGGUUAGCAAACUGAAGUACCCCUCUGAUUUGUUGAAGUAUGCCCGCCAAGAGCAAGUCCACAAGGAGCUCGAGAAAUGGGAGGAAACACUGUCGGAGAUGCUUCAACUGCUCAAUGUCGCUGAGGACAAGCAGAUCAACGAUCCCUCCGUGAAAGCAUGGCUCGAACGUCUCCGGGAUUUGGCUUAUGACAUGGAGGACAUCUUGGACGAGUUUGGCUACGAGGCUUUGCGAAGAAAGGUGAUGGCGGAAGCUGAUGGUGAAGCCAGCACAAGCAAGGUACGCAAGCUCAUCCCUACUUGUUGUACUACUUUCACUCCCGUCAGGGCUAUGCGUAAUGUUAAGAUGGCGUCCAAGAUAACGGAGAUCACUCGCCGUUUAGAAGAUAUUUCAGCUCAAAAGGCAGGGCUUGGUUUGUGUUUGGACAAGGUGAAAAUAAUAACCCAAUCCAGUUGGGAAAGGCGGCCAGUCACUACCUGUGAGGUAUACGUACCUUGGGUUAAGGGCAGGGAUGCAGAUAAACAGAUCAUAAUUGAGAUGCUGCUUAAGGAUGAACCCGCUGCAACCAAUGUUUCUGUAGUUUCCAUCGUGGCCAUGGGUGGGAUGGGCAAGACUACUCUGGCAAAACUGGUGUACGAUGAUACUGCAGAGCCCAUAGCCAAUCAUUUUGCUCUGAAAGCCUGGGUUUCUGUAUCAAUUGAUUUUGAUAAAGUGGGAGUAACAAAGAAACUUCUCGACUCUCUUACUUCUCAAAGCAGUAAUUCAGAGGACUUUCAUGAAAUUCAACGCCAGUUGAAGAAUGCAUUGAGGGGAAAAAGAUAUUUAAUAGUUUUGGACGAUUUGUGGGGAGACAUGCGUGCUAAAUGGGACGACCUACGCUUCCCUUUCUUGGAGGCAGCAUCAGGAAGCAAAAUCUUGGUCACCACUCGCGAACGAGAUGUUGCAGAAUGGGUGGGGGGACCCAACAACUUACAUGUCCUCAAACCCUUAUCUGAUGCUGACUGUUGGUCGGUAUUUCAAAUACAUGCUUUCCAACAUAUAAAUAUCCACGAGCACCCGAAUUUGGAAUCAAUUGGCAGGAAAAUUGUAGAUAAGUGUGGAGGUUUGCCCUUGGCGGCAAAAGCACUUGGUGGCCUUCUGCGUGCUGAACGAAGAGAACGUGAAUGGGAAAGAGUAUUAGAUAGCAAAAUAUGGGAUUUACCUGACGACCCCAUCAUCCCUGCAUUGAGAUUGAGUUACAUUCAUCUCCCUUCACAUUUAAAGAGGUGUUUUGCUUAUUGCGCAAUAUUUCCCCAAGACUAUGAGUUUAUGAAGGAAGAGCUAAUCCCCUUAUGGAUGGCGGAGGGGCUAAUUCAACAACCAAAAGAUACUAGGAGAAAAGAAGAUCUUGGUGAUAAGUAUUUUUGUGAGCUAUUGUCAAGGUCAUUUUUCCAAUCGUCGAGUAGCAAAGAAUCACUAUUUGUGAUGCAUGACCUUGUUAACGAUCUAGCUAAAUUUGUUGCUGGAGAUACAUGCUUGCAUUUGGAUGAUGAGUUUAAGAAUAAUUUGCAAUGUCUCAUUCUUGAAAGUACUCGUCAUUCAUCAUUUGUUCGUCAUAGUUAUGAUAUCUUCAAAAAGUUUGAAAGAUUUUAUAAGAAGGAGCGCUUGCGCACAUUCAUAGCUAUUUCAACACAAAGAUAUUUUCCGACUCGCUGCAUAAGUUAUAAGGUGCUUAAGGAAUUGAUACCAAGAUUAAGAUACCUAAGGGUGCUCUCCUUGAGUGGUUAUCAGAUAAAUGAGAUACCAAAUGAAUUUGGCAAUUUGAAACUUCUAAGGUACCUUAAUUUGUCUAACACCCAUAUUGAAUAUUUACCUGAUUCAAUUGGCGGUCUUUAUAAUCUACAAACAUUGAUAUUAUCAUACUGCUAUAGGCUUACCAAGUUGCCUAUUAACAUUGGACACCUAAUUAACCUUCGACAUCUUGAUGUUAGAGGUGACUUCAGAUUACAAGAAAUGCCUUCACAAAUUGGUCAAUUAAAAGAUUUGCAGGUAUUGUCUGAUUUCAUGGUGGGCAAAAACAAUGGUUUGAAUAUCAAAGAGUUGCGAGAAAUGUCAAAUCUUAGAGGUAAACUCCGUAUUUCAAAAUUGGAAAAUGUGGUGAAUAUUCAAGAUGUAAGGGUAGCCCGUCUAAAAUUAAAAGAUAACCUUGAAAGAUUGACACUAGAGUGGAGUUUUGACUCGGAUGGUUCAAGGAAUGGAAUGGAUCAAAUGAAUGUCCUUCACCAUUUAGAACCUCAAUCGAAUCUGAAUGAACUCAACAUUUAUUCAUAUGGUGGUCCAGAAUUCCCACAUUGGAUAAGGAAUGGCUCAUUCUCUAAAAUGGCGGUUCUAAGACUCGAAGAUUGCAAAAAGUGCACAUCUUUACCAUGCUUGGGGCGGUUACCAUCGCUUAAACGGUUGAGGAUUCAAGGAAUGGAUGGAGUAAAAAAUGUGGGUUCAGAGUUUUAUGGAGAGACGUGUCUUUCUGCAGAUAAGCUUUUCCCAUCACUAGAGUCUCUACAGUUUGUAAAUAUGUCAGAAUGGGAGUAUUGGGAGGACCGGUCCUCCUCGAUAGAUUCCUCAUUCCCUUGCCUCCGUACGCUUACAAUUUAUAAUUGCCCUAAAUUGAUUAAGAAAAUACCCACUAACCUACCUUUGCUGACAGGGCUCUAUGUUGACAACUGUCCAAAACUGGAGUCUACACUUUUAAGGCUACCAUCUCUCAAGGAAUUAAGAGUCAAGGAAUGUAAUGAGGCGGUCUUGAGAAAUGGAACUGAGCUCAC
rnacentral:lncRNA from 1 species